CACAGAAAACAUUUUCAAUUUACCAUUGAAGCAAACAGUACAUAUUUACCUAGUGUUCUUUGAUAUCAAUUAAUCAUUCUAUUUCACUGGAAAACAAUCUAAAUUGAUAAGAUCUUGUUUCAUUUAGAAUGAUUAUAGAUGAACGCUUUCUUGAAGAAUUUUGCAGAAGGACAAGUCGAAAGGCAAAACGGACUUAUUUGACUUCUGAGAUGCAAUAAAACACAGAGAAUGUUUGCCACCAACCAACUUCAUCAAAUAACAUUUUCCACACAAGUCAUUUCAAUCAAUGGAAAUUCAUCAUUUGUGCAGCAUCAAUUCCAUAAGAAUGGACUAUUUAAAUUCUACAUCUUCAAUGAAAAUAAUUUCAGCGAAUAUGAAUACAGUGAUGAAUCCAAAUCUUGGCAACAGACAUGGAAAAAGUCACUUGUUAAAAGUCAGGUAAUAUAUUUUCCAAAAAUUAGGAAUGAAGAAGAUGAGGUAGCAAUAUUAAAAACUUCUCAAGGUAUAGAUUUUUUCCAACUUCAAAACAAUAAUCACAACUUUAGUCUAAAAAACAUUAACCACAAAAAUCUGAAUGUAUUCAAUGAAUCAGCUUCUGUAAUAAAAGCUGGUCAUUUUUAUCAUGAUCAAACAUCUAUUGGAUUACUGAUAUCAGAUCAGAAUGCCACAAUCAAUUUCUUUGUUUUAAAAAUAAAUAAUCAGCCCAUAAAUACUUAUUCAGUUGAAUCAUUUUCAACUGAUACAAAUAUACUUGGUAAUUGUUCUCAAACAGAAUUUCUAGUUGCGGAUCUUCAGAAGAAAGAACAAGAUGACAUUAUUCUACGGGAUGAAAAAGGAUUACGUGUAUACAAAUUCAAUGAAAACAAUGCCCUCCAACAUUUAAUGGAUUUGCCUUUUGCUGCAAAGUCUACAGAUGCUGAGGAUAAGGUAUUUUUCCCCAAUUUGACAGGACACACCUAUCAAGAUAUAGUUUUACUCAAUCAAAGUGGGUUAUUCAUUUUUCAAUACGAUGAUCUACAAAAUUCUUAUAAUUUCUUGCAUUACAAUCCAUGGUUUUCCAAAGUCAAAGGAUGGAAUAAGGAAUACAUCAGUUCUGUUAUAUUUCAAGAUAUUAAUAUGGAUAACAUACAAGAAAUGUUAUUUACUGGUCCAAAUGGGAUAGAUAUUUUAUCAUUUGAUAUUUAUAGCAAUCAAUGGAGAUCAUUGCUAGAUGUCUCAGAAUUGGAUGUUGUCAAUAGAUAUCAUAAAGUAAGAGGUGUUAUGUUUGCAAAUCAACCAACUAUAAAGUAUCCUAUCUUGUUCACUAGUUAUAAGAAUGAGCUUCAUUGGGCAUACAUUGAAACAAUUUCAUUGUUGGAGAAACAAAUAUUACCAGAAUCAAAUAAAACUGUAAAUUAUGAUCAACAAGUAAGACCUCCGCAAAUACCACACAUUAUGAAAUCAUCACUAGUAAAUGGAAAGCACAUUCUUCUAUUGAGAGAUCAAUUGGACUGCUCUUCAAUACUGAAUUCAGUCAAUCAUUAUACUGGUAAAGUUAGUUUCCAAAUUCCAUUACUUGGAAGUACAAUGAUUAAAGGCACAACAUUCAAUAUUAUUUACAACAGCAAUGAUAAGAACUCCAACAUUUUGGGUGUAGGUUGGUCUACUCCAAAAAAUCUCAUUGUAUUGGAUCAUCAGUCAAGUAUAUACCCAGAAUCAGAAAAAUACUAUUGGGUGAUGGAAGACACACCUAAUUCACUAGUUUAUGAUACUAAAAAUUCUACUGAUACUAUUUACUCUUUUAAAUUGCUAUAUGAUUCAACAUCUAACUGGCAAAUCCAAUAUUUCAAAGUUGAAGAAAAAUGGGUAAUCAAAAGUAACAAUACUGAGCUGAUUUAUGGAUGUGUAGAUAUAGCCCAUUCUGAAAUGGCUCCUAUUGUUUGGGAAAUAGGAUGGAAGAAUUGGAGAGGAGUUGGUAGUAGCUUAAAAAGUCAAAUAAGAAUUGCAACUUCUUGGUACUUGGCAGAAAUACGUAAUGAGAAUAGUGUCAUCAACUUUACCUAUGAUAUUUUUGAAGUCUCUGUUCCAGGUGGUAAAAACUUCACUCAAGAAAUCAAUUUGAAAUCAAUUAAGAGUCAGGAAAAUGAGGUGAUUUUCAAUUAUUCAGCAAAAACAAGUAAUAAAUUUAUAGUACGUUCUGUGGUAGAUGAGGAUGGACUAAUUAGAUCACAAAUGGUACAAACUCAUCACUUGAGAGGGUACUCUGUUUGGUCUCUAGAUUAUGUCCAACAUAUUAAUUUCAUUUACAAAAUGAUUAAAGGAGAACGUUUGCUAUCUGAAAUUGUACAAGAAGGAGAUCCAUCUGGCAAUGCUAUCUUGAAAUUUGUUUAUGAAAAAGUAAUAACAUCCCAGCUACUUAAAAGAGUAAUUUUACCAAAAGGAACUGAAAUCAAGUUCAAUUAUGAAUCUCCUCACAAAGAAUUAAACAUUGAAAAUGAUACUGGUUUCUUGAGGUACAAAGUGAAGAAGAAUCACAAAGUACAUUUUAUUAGAAAUCAAAUUUUGAUUAGUUACAUUAAUGAAAAAUCUAAAUUAAAAUUGAACAUCUUCACAAGGAGCUUCAAUGACACCACAUCAUCAGUAUCUUUGGCAAUAGGUGAGGGUCUGAUCAAGAAUUAUGAAAUUAAGCAAAUGCAGGAUUUUCUGGCUAUUAUUUGUUAUACAACAAACAUUGAGCUAUAUUUACUUCGUGAUGGAAGACAUGCAUGUGGAGAAAACUUUCAAUCAGUAUUUAGUAAAGAUACUGCAAUUCAGUUUGGAAAUAAUUUUAUAAUAAUUGCUGAGAAAAGUAGACCUAUUGACAUAAUAACAUUUGAUUUGAGAUCAAAGAAAUGUAAGAAAACAGUUUUCAAAUCAGAUAUGAAUCUAAAUUCUAAACCUCCAUUACUUUUUUCUGUGUUUCACAAUGCAUUUGUGGUCUAUGAUGGUGAUGUUAUUUGGAUAGCUUAUAUAGAUGCCAAUCAAGAAUGGAAAUCAAAUGUGAUCAAAAGAACAUUUGGAGCAAUUGAAUCCAUUAGAAAAACUCUAGACAUGUUUGAAUUAGAGGAUGAAAUGAAUGAAAAGCUAAUUGAGUAUUUUAUGAGUAAGGCUCUCCUACUAAACAGAAAUUUUAUAAUUCUGAGUACAUGGGAAAUUUUCCAGACUCAGCUUUACACAUCAUUAAAAAUAUUCACUCUGAAUAGUAAAUAUCAGUUAGCUACAGAAACAAAGUUCAAAGUAUAUCAUGAAGAUAUUCUAGAUGUUGAAAUUCAUCAAGAUAAUCAAAAUGGAACUUCAAUUACAAUAGGUUAUGAAAAAUUUGAUGGAAAAUUCAAAUUAAUUGCAAAAUAUUUCCAAGGUGUCCCUCUGAAAGAACUCCGAAAUGCAUGUAAGUCUAAUUACAAAUUAUUAGAAGAAAAACAGAAAGAAAUGUGUGAUGCAAUCACAAAAUCUCUAAAAAAUUAUUUCAUAUUAAGUCCUUCAAAAUACAUUACUGCCUUAGAUUUUUCUUCAGCCACCUGUGGCAGUACAAAAUUCAUUUUUGAUGGAAAUGAAUGGAAAGAGGGCCCUCUGUCAAAUAAGAAAAAAACUGAAAAGGAUAAUACAACAUCAGUGCUACUGGGUAAUAAUUUGAUCCUCAUUAAAGAAAAUACCCACUCAUCUAUCCAAUUAUACCAUGGAAAUACAAAGCAAAAUCUAGGAAUUGCCUUGGUAAAUUUGGAAAUAAAUAAUUUCAAUGACAUUUUGAAUGCAUAUCCAAUCUACCAAGCUUAUCAAGGAAACUCUAACAAUAAAACCAACAUCAUACAAUUUUCUAUGAAUGGAGAUUUCAAAAAAGUCUCUUCAUUACCCUCAAAUGAACAAUUGACUCAGUGGAGUAAUUAUGAAACUUUGGUAACUGCAAUUCAUGAUGCUCAGAACCUAGACACAAUCACAUUAGUUUUUCGACAAAUGUUGGGUCUUCAGUAUUUACUUCCCAACAUAGUUGUUACAUCAAUUUUGACACUUUUCAAUGACGAAAUAAGAAUGACAGGGUAUCAGUAUUCAUCUCCCAAAAUACUAGGUGCCACCGUUUAUUAUGAAAAAGUAUCAGUGAUCCCAAAUAAUAAUAAGUUUUCAUUUGGAUGGUAUGAUGAGCUCAUAGAUUAUAACAAUUCAUCAAAAACUCAUAGAGUUAUGUAUGAUGCAGAUGAAAACUUGGUAAAAAUUUCAAAACAAAGCCACUCUCCAAAAAAUGCUGAUCAUUUAAAAGAUGAGCAUAUCAACUAUUCAAACUCAACUAUAUUUGACAAAAGUAGUAAACUGAAAGUAGCUGAAUUUUAUAUAACAAACAUAUCUGAUGAUGAGGCUAGCUUUUAUGGAUUUGAAGAGUAUGAAGUAAAUAAUGGGAAUUUGGACAAUUCAUCUGGUAGAUUGAGGAAGAAAUGGCAGUUUCAUCAAAAUGAUAUAGUGAAGAAUGAAUUCUCAUUAACAGGCCAAAAUUUGUUAAGAUUAUCAAAAAAUAUUUUACAUGCUUCAUUUAAACCCAAACAUCAAUAUCAGAAUUUUGUUGCAUCAUGUUGGAUAAGACCUCAAAAUUUAAUCUCAAAUUAUUCUACACCUUACCUUACAGCAGAUAUUCUGUUAGAAAAUGAUAAAAAAGCUAUAUACACUGGAUUAGGGGAAGUAAAGUAUAAAUUCAAUGAUUGGUACUACAUAGAAGCUUUGAUUGAUUUCCCAUUAGCAAAACAAGUGCAUAACUCACAAUUUGGUACCAAGAAUAAAAAUUCUCAAGAAAUUCAAUUAACAACACACAUUGUAGUUAGUUCUGGAGUAAAUAACACCAUUGAUGUAGAUCACAUUCGAUUUUCUCCAAUGAAUAGUUAUUUUAAAGCAAACAUCUAUAACAGUAUAACUAAGCUAGUUAUAAGUAAAAUUUAUGCAAAUGGAUUGAUCAAAAAGUAUAUAUAUGAUCAUUAUCAAAAGGAAAUUGCUUCCAUCAAUAUUUAUGGCCAACUAGACUCUUUUCAUACGUACACCAAGUCAUCAAGUGUUGGAAAAAUUAUACACUUCAACAGCAACAUUGAAAUCCAACCUGAAACUGGAUUAUAUGAAAGUUUUGCCCCUUAUUCUUUUAAACAAAGAUGGAGAAUAUAUGAUGACAGUAACUGGAAAAUAUUUCCAGGUCAGUUGCAACAUCGUUCCAUGAGUCAGCAUAAUUUACUUUUAAACACUUGCAAACCUAAUUUGAAUUCCUUUGGCUUACGAAUCUAUAUAAUUUUAGAAUCAAAACAAUCAUUCAUAAAGUUUGGUACCAGCAUGUUCCUAAAGCGAGAAGGUGACACUGCUACCUGUGUUAUAUUUGGAAAACAAUUACCUAUGGCAUUGCAAGCUGAAGUGAUCAUUAUUAAAGAACACACUCGCCUAGUUAUAUGGAUUGAUGGUGGUCUUUAUUUUGAUGGAUCCUCCAAAGGCUUUUCAAUUAAUCCAAUAAUGGUUAUGGGGCAAAUUGGGCUUCAUGAUGUAUUCAUCUUUAUUAAUCCAAGUAUAAAAAUAAUAUAUGAGAAUUCUUUGGGUGAAAAAAUUCAGACCAUUGUACUAAAAAGUGAAGAUACAGUGAUUGUGACUGCAUACCUUUAUGAUGAAUUAGGUAGACAAACUAUUGUUACUCAACCAGCUUACAUCAGAAGAUUUAGCAGUCAACAUCUAUUAUCUUAUUAUCCAAAUUUUGUGACGAACAAAAAUCCUCAUGAUAAAAACUCUGUGUGGAAAAUAGGGCAUUUAAAAGGUCAAUGUACUGAAUUUAUUGGUGAAUAUGACUACUCAGAGGUGAAAUAUAAUAAAGAUCCCCUAAAUGAAAAAAGUGCACUGGGUCUUCCUGGCAAAGAAUUUUCAGUUUUUGGACAAUAUGUCAGAAAAUUUGCUUCUUUUUGCAACAACUCUUUUAUCAACAAUGCCUACCCCAUUGAAAAAAACUAUAUUCAUCAAGUGGAAUAUAAACCUGGAGGUGUGUCUCUCAUAAAAGUCCUGAACAAAGAUGAGAAUGUUGUUGCUAAAUACAUUGAAAUUCCAUCUGAUGAAGAUUUACUCACCACAUAUGAAUAUGAUGAAAAUAAAAAUGUAAUUAAAAUCUUACCACCUUUGUAUCAUAAAAAAGCAAGAACACUGAUGAAAUAUAAUUCAUCACCACAACUAAGUUUAAUCAGAAAAGAAAGCCUAUUGUUACAAAAAGCAUUAGGUACACACAUAGUAUAUGAUAAAAAAAGUAAUAUCAUUAGUAAACAGACAUCUGAUUCUCAAAGGGUUGAGCAUAUAUAUGAUGAUAAUGACUUGAUGAUAUUCUCAAAAUAUUACAAUGCUAAGAAUAAAAUUGAAAGGAUAGCAUACUUUGAUUAUGAUUAUCUAGGUAGAAUACAAGAAACUGGAGAACUGAUCAAUUGGUUACCUAAUAGCAAUUUGAAGAUCACAAAAUUAUUAAAAAACAAUACUGUUAUACACCAACAAUAUCAUUAUAGCAAUGAUGAAUCUGAACCAUUUCUAAGGCAGAAUAUUGACAGAACAAUCACCUUCAAUUAUGAAAAUCCCCUGAUAGAAGAAUCAGUUUACAAUGGAGAGCAAGAAAUACUGAGUAGCCGUAUUAUUAUUCCAACUCAAGAUGGUAAUUCCCCUUACAUUGAAUCCAUUGAUAAAAAAUAUUUGAAAAGAAAAUUGAUUAAAUUAGAAUACCCUAUGCAUAUUCAAAACCAGUCACUAAAUGUUGCCUAUGAAUAUAACAAAGUUGGUCAAAUGAUUGGACUUGAAAUUUUAGGAGUUGUUGAUAAAUCUAUAAUGUUCACUUAUAAUGCAGCUGGACAGGUUGUUAGUGAACAGCACCUACCACAAACAAACAAAAACUUCACUAGAGUAUUCAACUAUAAUUCUGCAGGAUAUUUAACUCACUUGCAAGAUCAAUUCUUAACUGAAGAAGUUUAUUAUACAGAGCAUAGUUAUGGUGGUCAGGGAUACUCUGAUGGUACAAUCACAGCAAUUAAUUUUCAAGCUACUUGGCACAAAUACAGCAAUGGGAAUAAGCUUGGUUUAGAUGAACACUCCUUCAUCACUGAGAAAAUAAGCCCUCAAGAAUCAGCACUUUGUUUUCAAGCUUUGAAAAAAAAUGGUUAUUUGGACCAUAACAAUUUGCAAACAAAAAUUUUUUAUCCUUUAAUAAGUGAGAAUUUCCCCAUAGUUUGUAUCACAGGGGCCAAAAGUCGCCAGAUUCAGAGUAUUCUGGGAAAAAAAGGCUUUCCAAAUUAUUAUGGAUAUACUUUUGAUUACGGUAAUCAUCAAGAACUGAUAAAAGCAAAAUACUUUUUAGGUAUAGAAGUACCACAGCCCCUACAGCCACUUACGUUUAGUAUGGAGAUUCCAAAAAUAAGCAAUGUUACUUCAAAUGAAAUUUGGGAGACACUGUGUAAUUCAGGAUACAUCAUACAAGAUUCUAAAAAAAGUAACCCAUAUUUCAAACAUGGUAAAGCUGGAAAAUCAUUCACUAGACCUUCAUUGGUUGAUAACCUGAAUAAAAUUGAUCCACAAUAUAAAAAAUUUGAGAAACCUUUGCAAAAAGUUCUUGCUUCUUGUUUUAUUAAAAAAUGUAACUUUUCAACAAUUAAACAAGAUUUACAUAAACAUAUUAGCAAUUGGAUCACAGAUCAGAAUGAAACUGAAAUUGCAAAAAUUACUCACAAUGUUAUACAAAUGCUGGAGAGGAAUCAAUACGUUAAAAGACCUUUUUCCAGAGAUUUUAUCAACAUCUUAAAAGGGUAUCAAUCUAUUAUUCCUGGAAUUGUGCAUAUAUUAAUAGAAUAUUUUGGAGGACAACUGGGAGAAGGUGAAUUUGAUGUGGAAUCUUAUUAUAUUGAUGCUAAUGGUAAUCAUAGACAAUAUUACACAGGCUUUGAUAGAUAUGAAUUGAGUUACCUAGAAAAUACCAAUCAAAUUGACACAAUCACAUACAAACCUUUUACAACUAAUCUGCAUGAAAAGUUUACUGUCAAACAUGAUAGUAGGGGGAACAUUAUCCAGGCAUUGCAUAAAGGAAUUCAACAUAUUGAAUAUAAUUUGAUAUCAAAUCAAGUAAUAAAAGUAGUGUUUGUGAAUAGAAAUAGCAUGAUGUUUCAUUAUAAUAGUAGAGGAGAAAGGAUUUUGAAAAUUGUUCUCAAUAGUAAAGGAGAGAUAAUGAGCAAAUUACACUACACUAGGGAUGAAUUUGGUAGAACUUUAGUAGAAAGAAAAAUGACUUACAUUUCACAAAAUCUGCCACCUGAUUUAUUACUCACAGCAUAUAUCUAUGGUCCAAGCAGAUUAAUCGGAUUUAUUCGCCAUGAUCAGUUCUAUAGCAUAAUAUCUGAUCAUGAAGGAUCCACUAGAUUAGUAGUAAGAAAUGGAGAAGUUGUAGCAGCUUAUGAUUAUUUACCUUAUGGAAAUUUGAUGCGUAAGUAUAUAAAUGGUCCUGAAGCUGAUGUCAUGUAUCUUUUUACUGGUCAGGAAUUGGAUGAGGAAACUGGAUUAUAUAAUUUCCAUGCGCGUUUUUAUGAUCCUAGUAUAGGACGAUUCUAUCAAGUGGAUCCAAAAGAGCAAUAUCCAAGUCCUUAUAAAUAUGCAGGGAAUUCACCAAUAUCUACAAUUGAUCCAGAUGGGCAGAUAGCAUUCCUUGCAGUAGCCAUACCAAUAGCAUGUGCAGUAAUAGGUGCAUACCUAAAAGGAUCUCUUGCAAAUGAUAAUUAUAAUCCAUUUGCCUGGGAUUACACAAAGAGAGAGACAUAUUGGGCCAUAGCCGAGGGACUAGUAGCAGGUUUAUUUGUUGGUGUGCAAUUUCAAAAUCCAAUGAUCACAGGUUCCAUUCUUUCUGCUGUUUUUUUUUCAUACUUGAAUGCAGCUUCACAAAACAAAAGCUGGAAUCCACUUUCUUGGAACUGGACAAAUCCGAAUACUUAUAUAGCUGCAGUAGUUGGGGGAGCUAUGGGAUACUCAUUGGUAAAAAGUUAUACUUUUUGUGCAGUUACAAAAUCUGGUGGAGUAGUCAACAUGAUACCGGGACAUUUAUUAGGAGGGUAUAUAGGUGGGGUAUGGGCUAACCAGCGUUCAUUGAACCCAUUACAAUGGGAUUGGUCUUCACCAGAAACAUAUAAUAAAAUUAUGUAUGUUGGUACUUUAGUAGGACUCUGGAGAGAAUAUGUGAACUUUGUUGAUGAUAAUGCAAAAGGAUUGGUUGAGGGUUUGCGAAUGAUGUACAGAGCUGGUAAAGCUUUGAUAAAUUCAAAAAUUGUACAAAGGAUUCAACAGGGAUUACCUAUACAUACCAAAUAUUUACCAGCACAAAAUUCCCAAGAUGGUUGUAAAAACAGAUUUUCAAACAAUUCAGAUUUCAAUAAUAAGAAUCAACAAAAAAAUGAUACACAGCCAAAAUACAAUAAGUCAUUUAAUGAAGAUGUCUUACCAGCACUCAUUUCUAGUAUUGAACAUGCAUUAAGAAAGUUUGAAAUUUCCAAGACAAUAUCUGAUGAUUUAAUGAAACAUAUGUCUGGCAAACUUCUUCACAAUGUUAAGAAAAUUGAUACUUUGGAUAAUGUGAUAAAAAAUUAUAUGGUAGAAUGGAUUAACCAAAAGGAUAGAUCCCUAGCAGAACUAACUCACCUCUCGCAGAACAGCAGUUUUCUACUAUCAAAAGAAGAAGAAAACAUUCAAAAAAAUCAACUCAGUCAACUUUUUAACAACCAACAUCAAAUUAUUAAUAGUAUUUAUGAAAACACAAACUGGACUGCAAAGAUGAGUGAACUGGUGGACACAACAAGACACUUUUUUAUGGAUUGGGAUGCAAAUUUUAAUAUGGAACCUCACAUUCUCAUGGCUCUGGUGAAAAAUCACAAAAUUUCCAUUCAGGAAAAUCAAAUCAUAGAAAUGAAAGAUUUGUUGUACACAACCUCCUACAAAUUACCUAACCCUUCUCCAAACAAAGAAGGCAUUAGUACAACUGCCUUCAACUGUUAUGAUUUUGUAAACAUUGGGUUAAAGCAUAUGAUUACAGACAUUGAAUGGCUUCUUAAAAUCAAAAAUACAAACAUGGCAACACAAUAUAACAAAAUUUUUCUAUCAACUUCUAUCAUAUCAGAGAGAAAUAUUGGCAAAUGGGAACACAUCAGAAAUCUUAGAUCUUAUUUCAAUCUACCUUUGGAUAUUAUGCCAGUAAAUCAGUUGGUAAGAAGCAUAAAUAACAUAACUGAAGUAGAAAGCUCAUUAAAUAGACAAAAGAGAUCUACUCAAGUAACUUCAGCUGUUUUUCCAGAUAACGAUCAACACAAGCUCAAAACUUCAUUCAGAAGAGUAAAUUUUGAAAGUCAAAUAACUGGUCAGGAUUUUUAUAGGAGAAAAACUCCCACAACUAUCAAUAGGUCCAAUACCUCUAAAAUAUCAAGAGUAUUUGAUCAAUUCCUUCCUUCUGAAAGUACAAAAAUGAUGAACUGUAAAUUUUAUAAGUCAAGGGUGCAUCUACCACCAUAUAUAACUAAUUCAAAUUCAUCAGUUAUAAAAAUUGAUGCUAACAUAGACAUCAAUAGUACGUUACUAUUACUUGACUUUUUUGUGAAGAAAAUUACAGGAGCAGCUCCAAUUCAAUGGACACAUGAGGGAUUAUCAGCAUUAGAAUUGCAAGCUAUUGCACUCACCAUGAUUACUCAAUUUGAGGAAAUUCUGCAGGAAUCUGCAACAGAAUCUGGAUUGCUAACAGUAAACGUUGAUUUUGAUCCCAUUGAAGUUCAAAAUGUAAUAAUAGAGAAACUGAGGAAGGGACUGUUUUCUAAGAUAUCAGAAACACUGUAUUUGCAAGUAGAAAAUACAAAUCCAAAGCUGUGGGAAAACACAUCAUUUUUGAGGCGUUUGAAAAAAAAUAUAAAAAAAUUAUCAAUAAAUUAAUCACGCAAUCAGUCAUUGUACUAAUCUUAAACACUAAUCAUAUCCAUCCUAAAUGUUCAAGCUGCCAAGUGAUUACAUUUUUUGCACCUUCACAGGCAAACACAACAAUUUGCAAACACUUAUUAUUAGUUAUUAACUUACUCAUUGAAAUUUUUCAAUAAAACAUCUGAGCUCCUUACGCUGGAUACUUUGUAUAUGUACCAACUUAUUUACACUCUAUAUCAAUCUAAUAAAAUUUAUUAUGUUGUACAUAUGUGUAAAUCUCUUUUAUUUCAUAUUUUAUUUGAAAUAUUUGUUGUCGCUAGGCAUAUCUUUGAAUACGAAUCUCAACUGAUAAUUUCAGGAUAUUUUUCCAAGGUAAAUAAUGCAGUCGAUACUUACCAUACACAAUUACCUACUUAUGAAUGAAGAUGAAAUCAUGUUUUGUCCAAGUGAAUUUUGUAGUUGAAUUAAUUUAACUGAGUGCAAUUUCUUCAGAACCAUUUCAUCAACAAUAUCACAGACAUAGGAAUGCGACUUGCGCCGACCAUUUUUGGUCAAUUUUUCAAAAUGUCUAAUGUAAAAUUUGUAAAAUCACCCCGGAUAACUGAAAUAUCAACUUCAGCAGCUGGAAAUUUCACAGCGGACCAGUCUUGCCGUAGGUAUUAAAAAUUUCGAAAUUAUAUCAUAGGUUUAAAUAUGCGACCUACACUGACUAUUUCUGCUUAGUUUUUCAAAUUUUUAUUGAUAUGUGAAAAUCGAAAAAUUGCGCAGGAUAGCUGAAAUAUCAACUUCAGCAACGAAAAAUUUGAGGUUAGACUAUAUGCGAUGUGCUCUAUUCAAUCGUGGCAGAAUCGUUGAAAUCGGCGAAUGUCACCUGUGGCACCUCUCUUGUUACAUGAAUAGAAGUAAAGGAAAUAGGUACCUACUCAAAAUCAGCCAAACUUAGAUGAUGAAUAACUACGUAACUACAUAGGGUUAAUAUCAGUUUGCUUGGAGCUCGAAGUGCUUAUUACAUUGGACAGAGAUUUUUCAAGAAUUACUUUCGCAAAAGUGGAAUUCAUUUUCUCAUAAAGACAUGAAAAAGAAAUAGAAGUAGUACCUCAACAUGGAGAGGGUGGUUAAUCAUUGUCGAAUUUCGAAUUUGUUGUUGUUUAAAAUCUGCCAUUCCAAUAGGUAUACUUGUAAAAUUGGACCAAUAAAAAUAGACGUAUUUUUGGCCAAUUUAAAAAAUAAAUACAUACAUCAAACUAAUUUUUGUGGUAGCUGUCCCAUUUCAAAAUAAGGAUGUAAAAUAGGUAGAUAGACACUGGACUUUAUAAAGCGCGAAGCAGAAAUAUCUAGAAUAACUACCUUCUUUUCAUUUUUUUUUUUUUUUUUUCGUUUUUGACCAAAAAAAAACCGUUUGAGAAACCCUGCCUUGAAACUUUGUCGAUGUAAUUUUUAAAAAAUGAUUUUAUCUAGGUACUUUUAAUAGAUAAGGAGUUCGGUUACAUCUAUGUUAGAUACUAGACGUGUGUUUAUGCGUUUACGUGUUCAUGCGUUCACAUAUUAGAUAAUUUUGUGUUGCAAGUGUUAUCAAUUAUUAUCGCAUCCGAUCGAACAUAUUGAAGUGCUUUCGUUCUCAGAAUAGUUUUGUCGCUGUUACCAGUUUAAUUGGUCAAUAUGGACGAUGAAUUUAUUGCAGAGCUCAAAUCCAUGAUGAAAGAUGUCAAGGAAAUUAAAACCACGGUCAACAAUACUGAUGCGAAGUUAGCUGGAUUUACAAAGAGAAUGGAUGAGGUGGAAAGCCAAAACAAAGAGCUGAAAAAAACGUGUGAUAAUUUGCAAGACAAGGUAAAUGAUCUUGAUCAAUAUAGUCGUAUAGAAAACGUUAUAAUAAAUGGGAUUCCACAAAAAGAUGACGAAAAUAUACGCCAAGUAGUCACGUUAGUAGCUGAAAAAUUGAACGUAACUCUACACGAAUGCGACAUAUCAACAGCUCAUCGCCUACCUAGUAAACCAGAUAGGAUACCUGCCAUUAUCGUUCGCCUGAACAACAGAGAUAAGAAGUCGGAGCUCGUAAUAAAUUCACGUAAGCUGAGAAUAAAUAGUAAAGAUAUAAAUCUGAUGCCAGCAGCUCCCAUCUUUGUGAACGAACAUUUAACCUCAAGUAACAUGGCAAUCCAUAGACAAGCUCUACACCUUAAAAAAUUGAAGGUUUUAACAAGAGUCCAUGUGAAGGAGGGAAAGGUACUGGUGCAAGAAGAGGAAAACGGUACUUUCACUAAGAUUACAAACCUCUCCCAACUGAGUUUGCCUGACCAGGAGGAAAACGAGCAACCUAAAUCAUCAUCUAAUGUGAAUGAAGUUCCAGUGAAGCAACGCUUACGAUCCAACAAGAUACUGACAUUGUCGCAACUCAGUGCAAAGUCUAACCGAGGGAGGGGAGGGAGAAAUAGAUCUGGAAAUAGAUCUAGAACGCACUCAGGAAGUUAGAGGCUGGACUCCGCUUACCCAGAACGGCUAGUCACCAAGGGUAAGGAUGAUGCAGCAAGUCUCUCCAUUAAAUUAGCAACAUUUAACGUACGUACACUCAAAUCAGAAGAUAACUUGAUGGAAUUGGAAGGGGCUUUUGAAGAGGGGGACAUCCAGGUGUUAGGGCUAUCAGAGGUGAGACGCGCAACCGAAACUUUACAAAUAACCAAAAAUAACCAUCUUCUGGCACACUCAAGCUGCGAAAAUGGACAGAGAGGAGUUGGCUUUCUAGUACACAGAAACUUGAUAAACGAUGUAAAUGAAUUUAGACCAAUUUCUGAUCGAAUUGCUCUACUAAGUAUAAAUUUUUGGGGAAAGGAAAUUAGAAUUAUUCAAGUAUACGCACCUACUUCAGCUGCAACAGAAUCAGAUUCUGAACUUUUCUAUGAAAAAUUAAGCGAACUAUUAAUGCAACAAGGGGAAUUUUUGAAAGAUAUUUUUGUUAUGGGUGACUUCAACAGUCAGGUAGGUAAGGGCAAAAACGAAGACGAAUGUGUAAUUGGAAGAUAUGGGUAUGGUAAAAGAAAUAAGAGGGGAUGGAGGUUGUUGAGGUUCUGUGAAGAAUUCAAUUUAAAAAUAAUGAACACUUUCUACAAAAAAAGAGAAGGGCGCUUGUGGACCUGGAUGUCGCCUAAUCAAGAGUUCAAAGCUCAGAUUGAUUACAUUUUAACCACAAAUGAUAUUAAUUACAUAACGAAUUGCGAGGCAAAAAAUUUUAGUUGCUACUCAGACCACAGAGUAGUUACCUGUACACUGAAACUACAAAAAACAAAAAAAUUUAAACGUUGUAAUCCUAAACGAAAUUAUAAAGUAACAAAUGAAAAUGCUUCGGCUUACCAAACGGAAAUAAACACUCAAAUACUCAAUAACCCUACAAAAAAUAUUACAGAAAUUAUCCAAAAUGUAAGCAAGAAUAUGAUCCAAGAACCAAAGAACCAAAGCAAUAAGGGAUUACCAACAACUAUCAAAGAAAUGAUCAAAAACAGAGAAAAAAUGAAAUGUAUAAGGAAGAAAACACUCCAAGAUAAAAUAGAACUAAAUGUACUCUGUAAAUUAAUUAAAAAAUCCAUAAGAGAAUACAACUAUAAGAAAAAAAUUGAUUUAAUAAGCAGUAUUUUGGAAUCAACAAAAAGUACAAAAACAAUCAAAAAAAGUCUAAUGUUGGGUAAAACAUGGACAAUUUUUCUAACUGAUAAAAAUGGUUCAAAACAGUACAAUAGAAGGAAAAUAAACGAAAUUGCAACAGAUUUUUAUAGGCAGCUAUACUCGGACAAAACAGAAAAAGAAGAGACAAUCAUUUGGGUUCCAAGUGAAAAAGAACCAGAGUUUAUGGUGGAAGAAAUUGAAAAAAUUAUCAAAGAUUUAAAAAACAAAAAAGCAACUGGUCAUGAUCAAAUAUCUAACGAACAUUUCAAAUUUGGGGGGAAAAUUUUGGCUAAUAAGCUAACAGAAUACUUCAACAAUAUUCUAGAAACCCAGACCAUACCAGUAGACUUCAAACUUUCUGACAUUAUUCUUCUGUAUAAAAAAGGCGAUAAACACGAUGUAAAUAACUAUAGACCAAUAUCUUUGAGUACUACAAUGUCAAAAAUUUUCUCAAAAGCCAUAGAAAACAGAAUAAGAAAUGUACUAAAUCAACAGCAAAAACGCGAACAGGCAGGUUUUAGAAGAAAUUUCUCGACAAUCGAUCAUCUACAUGCAGUUAAUAUGAUAAUCCAAAAAAGCAACGAAUACCAACUCAACAUCCACCUGGCCUUCAUAGAUUUUGCCAAGGCCUUUGACUCCUUGAGACACAACUUCCUGCAAAAAGCUCUCCUUGAACAGGGUGUCCCAGAGUCUAUGGUUAAAAUAAUCAAGGAAAUGUAUAAAAAUCUAAAGGCAAGAAUAAUUACUGAUGUAGUAGGGGAGUAUUUCGAUAUAGAGAGAGGUGUAAAGCAGGGAGACCCCCUCUCUGCAAUCCUUUUCAAUUCUGGGCUAGAAAGAGUUUUUGGUCUAAAUGACUGGAAGGAUAAGGGAAUUAUAAUCAAUGGGGAACGUCUAAGUCACCUAAGAUUUGCGGAUGAUGUAGUACUGUUUGCCAAUAGCAUGGAAGAACUUGAACAAAUGAUUAUAGAAUUGAGCAAGUCGGCAGAAACUGCAGGGUUGAAAAUUAACUAUAACAAAACCAAAAUUCUAUCAAAAGGUGCUGAAAAAGAAAUAAAAAUUGAAGAUCAAAAUAUAGAAAUAGUAAGGGAAACAAUAUAUCUUGGUCAGAUUAUAUCUUUUGAAAACAGUACAAAAAGGGAGGUAAACAGACGAAUAACUCUAACUUGGAAAAAAUACUGGUCACUUCGAAAUAUUUUUAAAGGACCUUUUCAAAACCACCUAAAAAGUCAGAUUUUUAAUGCAUGCAUACUUCCUACAUUGGCUUAUGGAUCUCAAACAUGGACUUUAACAAGAAAAAUUAUCAAAAAAAUUGAGACAACCCAAAACUCUAUAGAAAGGUCCAUGCUAAAUUUUAAGAAAUAUGACAAAAUAAGAAUAAGAACAAUUAAGAAAAAACUAAAAAAUAAUUUAAAUUUCAAACAUUGGGUCAGAAGAAAUAAAUGGAAAUGGGCAGGGCAUGUGAGUAGGAUGACUGACAAUAGGUGGACAUAUAAAACAACUUUUUGGUUUUUGGGGCACAAAGUACAUACGAAAAAGAGGAAAACAGAAGGCUAGGUGGACAGAUGAGCUUGAUGAGUUUUUAACUCAUAAACUGUUCCAUAGAGUUGCACAAGAUAGAAUUGAGUGUGAGAGACUGCAAGAAUCCUAUGCCCAGUUCUGGGCCUAGCGGAGUUGGGUUCUAUUUAAUUAUAGUUACUCGAUCUUUUGUAAACCUAGUUCUAAGAAUUUUAUAUCAUUACUUCGCUAAUAAAGGAUUAUUAUUAUUAUUAUUAUUAUUAUUAUUAUAGAUAAGACUAUUCUGACCGAAUUGUUUGAAUUCCAAUUUAGAAAAUCUAUAUCUAUAAGAUUUUUCCAGUGACUUUCUCACAUUUAACUUCAGCAAUACCUACAUAUCUUUUCUAACACACAAAAAAUUCUACUCCUCGGGAGCUACUUUUCUCAUAAACGAAUGGAAGAAUCCAUAAAAUUUUCAUGUCAAAAUAAUUCUAUUUCCGUCCCAUUUAGGUAUAGUAAAAUCGUUACAAGCAGAAAAAAUUAUAAAUUUAUUUUAAUAAGUUUUUUUUCGUUUCUAGAAAAAUUUGGUUUUUGUGGUUUACCAGGAGUUAGAAUAGAGUGUCGAUAUUUUGUGAACAAUAUUAUGUAGGUGGCUCAUUCAGGAAAAUCUGUCAUUUCAAUAGGAACGAACUACGAAAUAUUCGUCAAGUAUUAAAAACGAAAAAACUAACUUUCAACCAUAAAGCAGGUAGCACGAAACAAAAUAAGCUGCAAAUUAUGAACCUGGUAUAAUAUGUACAUAUGUAGCCAAAACCUACUUGUACUACCUACCUAUCUAUAUCUACAUAGUACAUUGCAUGCAAAUUAAUACCUCGUAUAUUAAACAAAAAAACCCACGAUGUCGGCAUUAAAUUUUUCGUAUUAUUCACAAAACCAGUUUGCACAUCUUAUCUUAUCGAAUGUGAUGCUGUAGUGUGAAGACGUUUGUGAUACGGUACCUAAGCGAGAACAGUUGAAUAGUAACGGAGCUCAAUCAGAAAUUAUCAUUGUUAAUGUUUGUUCGUUGCAAAUCGAAUUAAAAAUUGAUGUGAAUUUAAUUAAUAGAUGAAUUCAACAAGGACUGAUUCAAACACGAACUGAAGCCGACAACAAUUAGUAUCCCAGUCGACGAAUCAGAAAUCACAUGCUGUCACAUAAAUCACUGAAGAAUUAACUAACUAUGAGGAGAGGCGACACAUACCAACGACUUGAUUAGAUCUUCGUCGAGUUUAUAAUUAUAUCUAGGCCUCGGAAUUCAACAUUCAUUAAAAUGGUGAUGUUGGCGAUUUUUUUAUUUAUUAAUACACUCUUCAUAUUCACCGAAAGUAUCACUCAAUUCAACACCAUCGAUUCUCAAAACUAUCCCACUCUCCACCGUCAUAAACGGGCUCCUCUUUCUUCUUCCAGUAUUACAACUUUGAAAACCACUUCAAAAACGUCGACAACUACUCAAGACCCCAUCGAUGUACUGGCUCAACAACUAGAAGAGGUGGAAAAACAACGACAAGAAGACAAGAGAAAAGAGGCGGAGGAACGAGAACGAGAAAAAAAACUACGCGAGGCAGAAAAAAAGCUACGAGAGCGUGAGCAGCAAAUGCAACAAGCAGAUGUAAUCAAACAACGAGAAGAGGCAGCUGCGAAACAACCAGGAGGAAGUAAAAACUCAUCAGAACCAGUUGGAACUAAUGGAGGUCAAAAUAAGCCUACAGAACCAGCAAUUGACAAACAAUCAGACGAAAUGAGGCAAGAAUCCGCCACUCAGCUCUUGACUCAGAAAUACCUCAAAGGCACGAAGAAUAACGAUACUCUGAUAAGCGAGAUUUUAAAUCAAUGCGAAGUGGAAAACUGUUUCAACAAAGUGAUCAAACAAGCCGUUGAGAGAAUUUUGCAAAAAACCAAAGUAACAAGUCUAAUCAAAACUGAACGAAAACUCAAUUCAUCCGUCGAAGAAUCCACAUCCAUUUACAAAUUUGUAUCCGAUAAAAUAUCGAAGAAAGAUUACACCGCUUGGACCGAUCUGGCUGUGCGUGUGAAAGAAAUUAUGAGCAUGAAAGUCUCUGCUAACGUAACUGCUGAACUGAAGCGUAUCAGAGAUAGCAAGAUACCCAGAUCGAUAAAAAAUUUGGUAUUCUCAACCAAAAUAUGUAUAAAAAAUACCAAAUAUAACGAAUAUUUAUACGCAGUAGGGUCACGAGAAUUGUGGUUUGAUAAUAAUAGACGUCACGUGUUCACGAGACUCGGUGGGGCCAGAAAUGGUACCGGAGAAUCUGGCGAAUUCUUCUGGAGGGUAGAGAGUAUCGCUGGUAACAAUGAAUUCUCAAUAAUCAAUCAUAAAUAUAACGAAUAUUUGUUCGUUGAUUCUGCCAAAUGGGACGACAGGAAUCGUUUCGCUUUCACGUGGACUGAUGAUAAACCAGUCACUCAAAAUGUCUGGAAAAUCACGCCGGAUUCGGAGGGCCGUUAUUUUGAAGUGAAAAAUACGAAAAAUAAUGAGUACUUGUUCGCCGAUUAUGAUAGAAUAUUUGAAGGCACGAUGAGAUGUGUGUUCACUUAUACAGAUGGAUCCAAUAGCAUCGAAGGCAUGUGGGAUUUCAUCAACUGUUCCAGUGAGAAAUAAAAUUUACGCACAGAUGUCUCCACAUAGGUACCUACCUACCUAAACGUCGGCUCAUCUCGUAACUAAUAAGCCUUCCAUCAACCUCUGAGUACAAAAUGACGUCGUUUUUUUCUUCUAAAAUAUGCAUUUGAGGGUAAAGGGGAGGGGGGUAACUUGGAAAAAUUUCGAGGAAAUUUGAGAUGAGAAGGGAGAGUCACAUGAUAUCAACUGACACCAUAGUUUUAGAACUUCUUUUUUUUACGUAAGGUAUUUUAACGGUGUAAAUGUAAGUAAAAGAAGGUAACAAUAAAAUGUACAAAUUUUCAAAAUCGUUUUUAUUUCAAACUCCAAUCACAUUUUUAUGAAUGAAAAAUCAUCAUUUCUUUAGCUUUUAGAACUAGGCAGCGAGCUUGUAAAAUGACCACUUCCCACCUCAUGUGAUUCAUUUUACUUGCGACCAAGAUCUAUCAGUUUAAUUUUCUUUUUUGGCGGAGCUGUUGGUAGUAGAGAUCUUAAAGGGCUCUCAUCCUCGUCCGGCAUGAACGGCUUAAGAAAUGGUUCGAAGGGAUUAAUAAUCGCUUUGGUAAUAUCUCGAAACAUGGUGGGCUCAUCGGUAUUUGGUUUUAAAUUAUUGAUCCUCUUUUUGAACUUGCGAGCAAGUUCUUUCUUAGCGUCGAUUAUAUUUUUGUAAGAAUCAAUAAGGAAUAUGACAUUAUUGAAGUGGAAUUUGAGUAAGUUAUCGUCUGGUAUGUCUUCGACGAUCUCCUCGAGAAAAUCUUUCAUCUUUAAGACGAUCCCAUGAGGUAUCGAUUUGAUCGCAGAGCACAAACCGAACAAAUUCGGGAUUCCUUUGAGGAAAUUAACAGUAGUAGGAGUUAAAA